rnacentral:rRNA from 1 species
UACGUAGGGUGCAAGCGUUGUCCGGAAUUAUUGGGCGUAAAGAGCUCGUAGGCGGUCUGUCGCGUCGGCUGUGAAAACCGGGGGCUUAACCCUCGGCGUGCGGGCGAUACGGGCAGACUGGAGUACUGCAGGGGAGACUGGAAUUCCUGGUGUAGCGGUGGAAUGCGCAGAUAUCAGGAGGAACACCGGUGGCGAAGGCGGGUCUCUGGGCAGUAACUGACGCUGAGGAGCGAAAGCGUGGGGAGCGAACAGG